rnacentral:rRNA from 1 species
UACAGAGGUGCCAAGCGUUAGGCGGAAUCACUGGGCUUAAAGCGCGCGUAGGCGGAUGUUUAAGUGUCUUGUGAAAUCCCACGGCUCAACCGUGGAACUGCUGGGCAUACUGGACAUCUUGAGGCACUCAAGGGCGAGCGGAACAAGUGGUGGAGCGGUGAAAUGCGUAGAUAUCGGAAGGAACAUCAGUGGCGAAAGCGGCUUCCUGGACCAGAACUGACGAUCAGGCUCGAAAGCGUGGGGAGCAAACAGG